GCCGCACGUCCAGACAAGGGGACAAGACCCGCCCAAAUCAACCCUGUUGGAGUGUUCUGAACUGGAUCUAGGGUGGCCUAGGGUGGCCCAUUAAUGCAUGAAUUGCCGCCAAGUUGGAGGCCAAGGUGACCUGAAGGUUCAAGUUUUCUGCCUAGAGGUGCGCUUGAAAAGGAGGACUCCGGGGACGAUCUACCGACAUUGAUCCUUGGGUGGAGCCGUGUUUCUAUAUCCUGGGGGGAGUUUAAUCAUACUUAAACUAAUUUCAUCGUAGUUUGCUAUCUUAUAGACUGUAAAUUGCUUUAAUCUAAUAAACGUAAGCGAUAGUGGGUCUCCCUGAA